GAGGGUAGAGCUCAGUGGUAGAGCGCCUGCUUAGCAUGCAACAGGUCCUGGGUUCAAUCCCCAGUUCCUCCA
rfam:Camelus ferus unplaced genomic scaffold scaffold2411, whole genome shotgun sequence.